UACGAGUGCCCCAAGCGUUAUCCGGAAUCAUUGGGCGUAAAGGGUGUGUAGGUGGCGAUGUUAGUCUUCUGUCAAAUUCUUCGGCUUAACCGGGGGUCUGCAGGGGAAACGGCAUUGCUCGAGGAUGCGAGGGGUGAAUGGAACUCAUGGAGUAGGGGUGAAAUCCGUUGAUAUCAUGGGGAACACCAAAAGCGAAGGCAAUUCACUGGCGCAUUCCUGACACUGAAACACGAAAGCGUGGGUCGCGAAUGGG
rnacentral:rRNA from 1 species